CCGUAACUAUAACGGUCCUAAGGUAGCGAAAUUCCUUGUCGGGUAAGUUCCGACCUGCACGAAUGGCAUAAUGAUGGCCAGGCUGUCUCCACCCGAGACUCAGUGAAAUUGAAAUCGCCGUGAAGAUGCGGUGUACCCGCGGCUAGACGGAAAGACCCCGUGAACCUUUACUAUAGCUUGACACUGAACAUUGAAUUUUGAUGUGUAGGAUAGGUGGGAGACUUUGAAGUAGUCACGCCAGUGAUUAUGGAGUCGUCCUUGAAAUACCACCCUUUAACGUUUGAUGUUCUAACGAAGAUUACGAAACGUGGUCUCGGACAGUGUCUGGUGGGUAGUUUGACUGGGGCGGUCUCCUCCCAAAGAGUAACGGAGGAGCACGAAGGUUUGCUAAUGACGGUCGGACAUCGUCAGGUUAGUGCAAUGGUAUAAGCAAGCUUAACUGCGAGACAGACAAGUCGAGCAGGUACGAAAGUAGGUCAUAGUGAUCCGGUGGUUCUGAAUGGAAGGGCCAUCGCUCAACGGAUAAAAGGUACUCCGGGGAUAACAGGCUGAUACCGCCCAAGAGUUCAUAUCGACGGCGGUGUUUGGCACCUCGAUGUCGGCUCAUCACAUCCUGGGGCUGAAGUAGGUCCCAAGGGUAUGGCUGUUCGCCAUUUAAAGUGGUACGCGAGCUGGGUUUAGAACGUCGUGAGACAGUUCGGUCCCUAUCUGCCGUGGGCGUUGGAGAAUUGAUUGGGGCUGCUCCUAGUACGAGAGGACCGGAGUGGACGCACCACUGGUGUUCCGGUUGUGUCGCCAGACGCAUUGCCGGGUAGCUAAGUGCGGAAGAGAUAAGUGCUGAAAGCAUCUAAGCACGAAACUUGCCAAGAGAUGAGUUCUCCCAGAUUACAAAUCUGUAAGGGUUGUUUAAGACUAAGACGUAGAUAGGCAUGGUGUGUAAGCGGUGCGAGCCGUUGAGCUAACAUGUACUAAUUGCCCGAGAGGCUUAACUAU
rnacentral:rRNA from 1 species